AGGUAAGCUACUAAGAGCGAAUGGUGGAUGCCUUGACUGGUAAAGGCGAUGAAGGACGUACUAGACUGCGAUAAGCUACGGGGAGCUGUCAAGAAGCUUUGAUCCGUAGAUUUCCGAAUGGGGCAACCCAAUGUAUAGAGAUAUACAUUACCUAUAUAGGAGCGAACGAGGGGAAUUGAAACAUCUUAGUACCCUCAGGAAAAGAAAUCAAUAGAGAUUGCGUCAGUAGCGGCGAGCGAAAGCGCAAGAGGGCAAACCCAGUGCUUGCACUGGGGGUUGUAGGACUGCAAUGUGCAAGAGCUGAGUUUAGCAGAACAUUCUGGAAAGUAUAGCCAUAGAGGGUGAUAGUCCCGUAUGCGAAAAACAAACCUUAGCUAGCAGUAUCCUGAGUAGGGCGGGACACGAGGAAUCCUGUCUGAAUCCGGGUCGACCACGAUCCAACCCUAAAUACUAAUACCAGAUCGAUAGUGCACAAGUACCGUGAGGGAAAGGUGAAAAGAACUGAGGUGAUCAGAGUGAAAUAGAACCUGAAACCAUUUGCUUACAAUCAUUCAGAGCACUAUGUAGCAAUACAGUGUGAUGGACUGCCUUUUGCAUAAUGAGCCUGCGAGUUGUGGUGUCUGGCAAGGUUAAGCAAACGCGAAGCCGUAGCGAAAGCGAGUCUGAAUAGGGCGCUUAGUCAGAUGCUGCAGACCCGAAACGAAGUGAUCUAUCCAUGAGCAAGUUGAAGCUAGUGUAAGAACUAGUGGAGGACUGAACCCAUAGGCGUUGAAAAGCCCCGGGAUGACUUGUGGAUAGGGGUGAAAGGCCAAUCAAACUUCGUGAUAGCUGGUUCUCUCCGAAAUAUAUUUAGGUAUAGCGUUGUGUCGUAAUAUAAGGGGGUAGAGCACUGAAUGGGCUAGGGCAUACACCAAUGUACCAAACCCUAUCAAACUCCGAAUACCUUAUAUGUAAUCACAGCAGUCAGGCGGCGAGUGAUAAAAUCCGUCGUCAAGAGGGAAACAACCCAGACUACCAGCUAAGGUCCCUAAAUCUUACUUAAGUGGAAAACGAUGUGAAGUUACUUAAACAACCAGGAGGUUGGCUUAGAAGCAGCCAUCCUUUAAAGAAAGCGUAAUAGCUCACUGGUCUAGUGAUUUUGCGCGGAAAAUAUAACGGGGCUAAAGU
rnacentral:rRNA from 1 species